UACGUAGGGUGCAAGCGUUGUUCGGAAUUACUGGGCGUAAAGGGCUCGUAGGCGGCCAACUAAGUCAGACGUGAAAUCCCCAGGCUCAACCUGGGAACUGCGUCUGAUACUGGAUGGCUUGAAUCCGGGAGAGGGAUGCAGAAUUCCAGGUGUAGCGGUGAAAUGCGUAGAUAUCUGGAGGAAUACCGGUGGCGAAGGCGGCAUCCUGGACCGGCAUUGACGCUGAGGAACGAAAGCCAGGGGAGCAAACGGG
rnacentral:rRNA from 1 species